GAUGAACGCUGGCGGCGUGCCUAAUACAUGCAAGUCGAACGCAUAGCGAAAGGUGCUUGCACCUUUCAAGUGAGUGGCGAACGGGUGAGUAACACGUGGACAACCUGCCUCAAGGCUGGGGAUAACAUUUGGAAACAGAUGCUAAUACCAAAUAAAACUUAGUGUCGCAUGACACAAAGUUAAAAGGCGCUUCGGCGUCACCUAGAGAUGGAUCCGCGGUGCAUUAGUUAGUUGGUGGGGUAAAGGCCUACCAAGACAAUGAUGCAUAGCCGAGUUGAGAGACGGAUCGGCCACAUUGGGACUGAGACACGGCCCAAACUCCUACGGGAGGCUGCAGUAGGGAAUCUUCCACAAUGGGCGAAAGCCUGAUGGAGCAACGCCGCGUGUGUGAUGAAGGCUUUCGGGUCGUAAAGCACUGUUGUAUGGGAAGAACAGCUAGAAUAGGAAAUGAUUUUAGUUUGACGGUACCAUACCAGAAAGGGACGGCUAAAUACGUG
rnacentral:rRNA from 1 species